rnacentral:rRNA from 1 species
UACGUAGGGUGCAAGCGUUGUCCGGAAUUAUUGGGCGUAAAGAGCUCGUAGGCGGUUCGUCGCGUCUGCUGUGAAAACCCGAGGCUCAACCUCGGGCCUGCAGUGGGUACGGGCAGACUAGAGUGCGGUAGGGGAGAUUGGAAUUCCUGGUGUAGCGGUGGAAUGCGCAGAUAUCAGGAGGAACACCGAUGGCGAAGGCAGAUCUCUGGGCCGUAACUGACGCUGAGGAGCGAAAAGCAUGGGGAGCGAACAGG